UCCCUUGUUUCUGAGCUUUAGUUGAUGAUGUUAGAAAGUUGGUUCCCUUAUCUGAAUGUAGUCAUUCUAAAAUUUAUUUUUCAUGUUUUUGACCAAAGGUGGUAUGAUGAUUUUAGCAACAUGGUUGAGCAAAGCAGCUCUUGAAGAACAAACAACUGUUAUUCUUAUCAUUUUUAAGGGAGAUUUGGCAAAUUACCUUUAAAAGAAAGGACGUCUACAGCCUUCUAAAGCUCUGAGAUUUUCUCUUGAUAUUGCUAGGUAAGCUCAUAACUUGAUAUUUGGCCACCAACUGAUUGUUUUUUAAUUGAAGAUGAUGUGGUUUUCACUGACUUUGUUGGUGACAGCAAGUAAUCAAAAGCUUUAUCGCUUUUCCCCUAGUUUUCUUUUCUUUUGUGGGGACCUAUGAUACCACCAAAUCCACAAGAUCUGACAGUGAUGUAUAGCUUCAUCUACAAUUGGGUCAGCAAUUUGGACAAUCUGGAUUUCUGAACAGCUAAAAGUUGUAAUUUAUCAGAUGUGUAUCAUUACAAGCUAUGUAGUAGAUACUUUGUAUUUAGAGAAUUCUAUAAGAAUAUCUGUAUCUCUUGUGUUC